AAUCCCUCAAGCACCGCUUGGUGUUGGGUCCUGUCUGGCCUAUAGGCGCCGACUCCCCUUUUAUGUGAUUGGCGGCCUGUGUAUUGGCUACGAGCGCAGCAGACCCGCGCCUCGUCCCCUCUCCCGCAGGCGACCAGAAAGUGUUAACCCCCCAA
rnacentral:misc_RNA from 1 species